UUACUAACGUCUGUGUGUUUGUUUGUUUAUCAGAAACGUCGCAGCACCGCUAAAGUCCGCACUAGUCCCGGAGCUAAAGUCCGAGUGACGGCAAAAGGGAAGGCGGCGAGCUCGAGAGCUGUCACGCAGACGGUCGGGGUGGCCAAGAGGGCGAUGGCGUACCGUGCAAAGCAGGACAUGUCGGACUCAGACGAGGAGAAGAGCGACUCGUCAGACUCUGAUGAAGACGAUGAGACGUCAGGAUCCACAGACAGUGAAGACGAUGAUGAAGAUGAUGAGAACGAGGACGACGAGGACGACGAAGAUCAGUCUUCCUCUGAAGAAUCCAGCGACUCGGACUCUGACUAGCCCCGCCCCUUCACCUCAUUGGAGAGGAAAGGCUGUGCAGGCCACGCCUCCUCAUGUGCCAAUCACCGUGGCAGACCAAUAAGUGAUGUCAGAUGGAGCUCACACUUACCCCUCCCACCUUCCAUCUAAAAGGGGUGGAGCCUGGCCGAGCGUUUUGUUACUCGUGUUUCUGUUUUUAUCGAGUGUUUGUUGGUUUUUAUCUGACUGACAUUUCAGACGGGUGGAGACUUGUUUUAUUUUUGUGGAGUGAUGAAGGGGCGGGGUUGUACAGUUUGAAAGGCAGGGGGAGGGGCGGAGCCUAUUGGUAGUGUUAUUUACUGUUAAGGGAGGAGCCAGUGUUCAGCCUCCAAUCAGCCGCCUGCCGGAGAAAAUUAUAAACAAAUAAAAGCACUUUUUUUCUCA